UCUCGCGGCAUUAUAGCCCGUCGCGAGACCGGAAGCCUCUUUCCAUUUCCGUCCCCUCCGGUAGAGUCCUGGCGGUGGAAGGGACCCGGAGACGGGCGGACCCUGAGGGCUGUGCACCCGCCUCAUCCAGGGCAGCUUCCUGGAAGACUCUGAAAGAGAUGGGGGUCUCACUUCUAGCUGCCCUGGAUCUUCCUCUGUGGACCAAGCUGGCCUGGAAUUCACAGAGAUUCACUUGCCUCCACACCCUAAGUGCUGGGAUUAAAGUCAUGCACCUUUUUGCACAGCUCAGUGAAGCUUUUGAAAUGUAUUAGCUUAGUAGACCUCUAGCUUCCACCAGCUCCCAAGAGGUGUCCUCCAAACCCUGCUCUUGAAAGACUCAGAUAUAAGGCAUAAAAGAAAAGUCACAAAAUAAAGUCUGUUUUCUGCUGUCUCA